rnacentral:rRNA from 1 species
CCGGUUCUCGUUAGAUCACCAAAGUCAAGCAUCAUUGGGCGCGGUCAGUACUUGGGUGGGUGACCACCUGGGAACACCGCGUGCC